rnacentral:sRNA from 1 species
UCGACGAGAACGAUGACCGGUCCGAGC